GAUGAACGCUGGCGGCGUGCCUAAUACAUGCAAGUCGAGCGAACAGAUAAGGAGCUUGCUCCUUUGACGUUAGCGGCGGACGGGUGAGUAACACGUGGGUAACCUACCUAUAAGACUGGGAUAACUUCGGGAAACCGGAGCUAAUACCGGAUAACAUUUGGAACCGCAUGGUUCUAAAGUGAAAGAUGGUUUUGCUAUCACUUAUAGAUGGACCCGCGCCGUAUUAGCUAGUUGGUAAGGUAACGGCUUACCAAGGCAACGAUACGUAGCCGACCUGAGAGGUUGAUCGGCCACACUGAAACUAGACCACGGUCAAGACUCUUACGGAAGGCAGCAGUGGGGAAUCUUCCCAAUUGGCCGAAGCCCUACGGAAGCACGGCGGCGUGGUUAAUGAGGGUUUCGGCUUCGUAAAACCCUGUUUUAGGGAAGAACAAAUGUGUAAGUAACUGUGCACGUCUUGACGGUACCUAAUCAGAAAGCCACGGCUAACUACGUG
rnacentral:rRNA from 1 species